UACGGGGGGGGCAAGCGUUGUUCGGAAUUACUGGGCGUAAAGGGCUCGUAGGUGCCAAGCUAAGUCAGACGUGAAAUCCCUCGGCUUAAACCGGGGAACUGCGUCUGAUACUGGAUGGCGUUGAGUUCGGCAGGGGAGACUGGAAUUCCUGGUGUAGCGGUGAAAUGCGCAGAUAUCAGGAGGAACACCGGUGGCGAAGGCGGGUCUCUGGGCCGAUACUGACGCUGAGGCGCGAAAGCCAGGGGAGCAAAACGGGG
rnacentral:rRNA from 1 species